rnacentral:rRNA from 1 species
GAUGAACGCUGGCGGCGUGCCUAAUACAUGCAAGUCGAGCGAACGGACGAGAAGCUUGCUUCUCUGAUGUUAGCGGCGGACGGGUGAGUAACACGUGGAUAACCUACCUAUAAGACUGGGAUAACUUCGGGAAACCGGAUCUAAUACCGGAUAAUAUUUUGAACCGCAUGGUUCAAAAGUGAAAGACGGUCUUGCUGUCACUUAUAGAUGGAUCCGCGCUGCAUUAGCUAGUUGGUAAGGUAACGGCUUACCAAGGCAACGAUGCAUAGCCGACCUGAGAGGGUGAUCGGCCACACUGGAACUGAGACACGGUCCAGACUCCUACGGGAGGCAGCAGUAGGGAAUCUUGCGCAAUGGGCGAAAGCCUGACGGAGCAACGCCGCGUGAGUGAUGAAGGUCUUCGGAUCGUAAAACUCUGUUAUUAGGGAAGAACAUAUGUGUAAGUAACUGUGCACAUCUUGACGGUACCUAAUCAGAAAGCCACGGCUAACUACGUG